AACGGAGGGGGCAAGUGUUACUCAUAAUGACUGGGCGUAAAGGGUACGUAGAUGGCUUAGUAAAUGGUUAGUAAAAAGGGAGAGUAAUUUCUUCUACUGCUUUCUGCACUACUUAGCUAGAGUUAAAUUAAGGAUAAUGGUACUUUUAAGGGAGAGGUGAUGUUCGACGAUAUUAAAAGGACCAUCAAAGGCGAAGGCAAUUAUCUAGGUUUAACUGACAUUGAGGUACUGAAGCGUGGGGAUCAAAUCGG
rnacentral:rRNA from 1 species